rnacentral:lncRNA from 1 species
UAGAGAGGCAGCUUAACAACUGCCUAACAAUGACCUGAUGGUCACCUGGCAUUUCUGGUGGAGGGUUGCCUUCUCCUGCCCUGUUAAUAUCUGACUAGCGACCUACUGUGACAAUCCCAACCAAAUCGUGGAAAUGCUAUACAAUUUGUGGAGGGAAGGGAGUGAGGAUGGAAGGCUAAAUGAAUUUGAAGGCGGUAACCACAGCAUGUGCAACAUACAUUGGAUGUAGACAAGGCUGGAAAGGAAAUCGAUGCCAUAUCAAGUUUAAUCCUCCUACUACAGACUUCACAUACACUCAGAAUAAUACAUGGACUCUCCUGGGUAUUGGAUUAGCAUUCCUGAUGACUCACAUCACAGUUGCAGUCUUGGGUUUUCUUGCAAACAGAAAGAGUUCUGUCUAUUCCUUCUCAAACCCGUUAUAUGGCACAACAUCAGGAAGCCUGGAGACCCUGUCACAUCAUCUCAAACAGCAGCAUCGAGACCAAGUCUGAUCCAACAUGUGUAGUUUCUAGAAAAUUGAAGUCUCCACAAUCUGAUAGAAACUCAUCUUCUACAAUGGUAAAAAGAGAAAGGAUUGUAAAUGCG